GGGUGAUUAGCUCAGCUGGGAGAGCAGCUGCCUUACAAGCAGCGGGUCGGCGGUUCGAUCCCGUCAUCANAACUCU
rnacentral:tRNA from 1 species